AAUAUUAUGUCUGAUUUAAGUAAUAAAUUGUAAAUUUAUUUAAGAAAUGAAAUUAAUUUCUAAUAUUA
rnacentral:tRNA from 1 species